AGUGAACGCUGGCGGUAGGCCUAACACAUGCAAGUCGAACGGCAGCACAGUAAGAGUUUGCUCUUACGGGUGGCGAGUGGCGGACGGGUGAGGAAUACAUCGGAAUCUACUUUUUCGUGGGGGAUAACGUAGGGAAACUUACGCUAAUACAGCAUACGACCUACGGGUGAAAGCAGGGGAUCUUCGCACCUUGCGCGAUUGAAUGAGCCGAUGUCGGAUUAGCUAGUUGGCGGGGUAAAGGCCCACCAAGGCGACGAUACGUAGCUGGUCUGAGAGGAUGAUCGGCCACACUGGAACUGAGACACGGUCCAGACUCCUACGGGAGGCAGCAGUGGGGAAUAUUGGACAAAGGGCGCAAGCCUGAUCCAGCCAUACCGCGUGGGUGAAGAAGGCCUUCGGGUUGUAAAGCCCUUUUGUUGGGAAAGAAAAGCAGCAGGUUAAUACCCCGCUGUUCUGACGGUACCCAAAGAAUAAGCACCGGCUAACUUCGUG
rnacentral:rRNA from 1 species